UCGUGUCUUCAAUAUUGUAAAACAUGCCCCGACAGUCUUUUGUAACCUCAGACAAUUUAUUCCUUCUUCAUGGCAUUCGCAGCUGCAGCAAACUUAGAAAAUUUUUAAAAACAUGACAAUGGACUGAGGAAUUUUCCAGUGUGUCCUUUAUGGACUGUACUCCGUCUUAGCACUAUCCUCAAGUUUUACCCGAAAGGCCAUGCUUCAGGUUGGACCGUCUUCCAUAUAUCUACUGACUUCAUAUAAAUGAAAGUGUACUGAGGACUCACUAAUCUGCACUACCAGUAACAAAGUAAUCCGACAAUCAGACUGGACCCGGUCAUGUUAGAAUCCAGAGGUAGGAAAUGAAAAUACAAUUGACUCCGCAUCGAUGCAUGACCUCGCCCGGAACGCGGCAAGAAAAAAACAAUGGAAGAAAAUAC